AUGACUGGGAGGCCUUCCCCCACUUGCUCUGGCCCCCCACAGCCAGUCUGUCCCCCAUGGCAGUGCCCAGCAUCCUGGGCACUUCUUGCCUGUAUGUCGCCUGUCUGUUGUUCUAGAUUGAAGAAAGUUCUGGAAGGCGGAACCUGGAGUGAUGUAUUCACUUCUGUGACCCAGGACCAAGAUCUAUGCUGGGCAGGAGAUGCCCUGGAGAAUGAGCCAACCCUCGCUGGGCCCUCUCAACGCUGUUCUCGAAGGCCGCAGGGAAGGGGUGAGGGGCAGGCCGGUGUGCAGACACCUCCCCACCCCUCCCCUGCCCCUUCCCCAGCCUUCCUGGCACCCGGCAUGGCUUUGCCCUCCUCCUGUCCACGCCACCCGCCGCUGGAGGUGGGGAGAGACUCCAGGGGCCGCGGCCCCUUCCUGCGCAGGCUGAGGGCCUCCAAGGAUUCAUGUGAUCCUCUAAAAACAGGGGAAAGGCAACACGAGCAAAAGGCAGAGAGUUGGCAGCACCUAAUUAAAGGCCACCAGCUGGGCACAAGAAGAGCAGAAGAUGAUCUGAGCGUCAGAGCUGACCGCAAGCUGCGGAUGAGUCAGUGCUUCAGAGAACAAGCUCCGUGGAAGCCUGGGGGCCUGGGCUGCCAGUGUGAUUGGCAGACUCCUAGCCGUGAACCUUCUGAUCCAUGAUUCAUGACUCACACCUUUCCAAGAGCAUAGACUCUACAUUCGGUCAUCUCAUCUUUUUAAAGGAAGUGGGAAGCUGUCCCGGGUCCAAAGGCACGGAGACAGUGGCCCGGGGGCUAUUGAUGUAAGAGACUGGAAGGAUUCAAGAGCAAGGGCAUCUCUGCCUUAUGUUUACUUUACAAAGCAGCUGUUGGUCAUGUCUAUAGCGGCCUGAAUGGAAGGCAACAGAGCGGGAGGAGCGGGAGGAGCGGCAUGAGCGGAAGGAGCACCAGAUGGUGAGUCAGUGGACUUGUGACUCCACCAUGUGACCCGGGCGAGCUUUCUCUCCGCCGCAGACCACAGGCUCUCCGUGCCGGCUGCGGGGAUGCGGGCUGACCCCGAGCCCUGCCCGGAUGGCUGUGACCGACGGAAAUGCAUUUGGCUGCAAGUAACUGGAAAUCCAGCAGACGCUGGCUCAGGCAAGCAAAGGUUUACUUUCCUCACCUAAUGAAAAGCUCAGAGGGAGGCGGUUGUAGGUCUUGGUUUAGUGGCUCAAGAAAACGAGGGCUCUCGCUGGCGUGUCUGCAACAGCCACGGCUUCUCCUCUUGGCUUCGGGUCACAGGCUUCGGUUCUUCCUCGUAGGAAGGAGGCGGCCGGGCGGCGCCAGCCAUAUUGGCCGCCGCGCCCCUUAACCCGGAAGUGAAAGCUUUCCCAGGCCCUCCGGAGAGCUCCCUCACGUCUCAUUGGGCAGAGCGGGUCACAUGACCCAUCACAUGGCCGCCUCCGCCGCAAGGGAUGCUGGGAGAGGGAGGAUGUGGGCGCCAGCGGGAAAGGUGACAGGGACGGGGUAGUGGCCGUUGGGGGGCUGGUGCCCACGGGGUUCCGGGGCAGCAAACCCUAAGUCCUGCCCCCGCCAUCGUCCACCCAUGGGCCUCCCGGUUCCAGCGUGAGAUGUGAGGACGAGACCUGAGUUCGAAUCCCGACCCCGACACGGGCCUGGAGCUGGAAGCCGUCUGCUGACCUGUGGCCCUGGCGGAGCAGCGGGGCCUUCCUUGGAAAAGGCUGUGGGUGGCACGUCUCCCUGCUGACGUCGUUUUUGCCUUCAGAUACCCAUUUGCCAUCUUUUGGUGACACAUUUUGGGGCAAAACCUCAGGAUGUCGGCCGUAAGGAAAUGAGGCAUCGCAGCAGAGGGGUGAAAAGCUUCGGUUUGGAGUCGGCGCUUCGUCAUUUUGCUGGGUGGCUUUGAGCAAGUCACUUCACCUGUCUGAGCCUCCGUUUUAUGUAAAAUGAGCACAACAGGCUCUGCUUCUCGGUGCUGUGUGUGGAUGAACAGGCCGGGGACAGGCUCCGCGGGGCCUGAUGCCUGGGAAUCCAUUCAGCAAAGGGUCGUCGUUAUUAGAAUAUCAAAACUCCGGAUGGACCAUAAACUUUUUUUGUGGGAAGAAACAAAAGGCUGUGUCUUCCCUGAAGCCAAUUCUAGUUUUCUCUCCUUAUAACCCCCAGGGCACUCUCCAUGAAUUUCUCAUGGUCUGUUUUUGUUGUAGCUAUUUGUUUUCUGGUCCGGAAAUAGCUAUUUAUCUACUUAUAUAGUCUGGGUCUUUUGGUUGAAAGUGACAGAAGCAAACCAAACUCAAAAGUGGCUUAAGAAAAAAAAAAAAAGAGAGAGAGAGAGAGAAAAGUGUAUAUGUGAAUGCAUUGGUUUACAUAAAUGAAAAGUUUUGAGAUGGGUUCAGCUUCAGGAAUGGCUGGAUCCGAAUGUCUACCUAUUGUUUAGGAAUCGUGAUCUCUCCAAAUCUCAGCGCUGUUUUCUUUUGUGUCAGUUAGGGUCACCCCAUAGGGUGGCAGAGAUAGUCCCCAGCAUUCCCCAGGCUUCCGUUCUCCCAUUCUGGAUAGAAGCAGACUUUUCUGUGUAGCCCCAGCACGUGUCUGGGGGUUGGCUCUGGUUGGCCGGAU
rnacentral:lncRNA from 1 species